CUAAAUAACCAGAUAUUUGGACAAAUAAAAAAAAAAAGAUGAAUCCUCUUGUAGACUUCUGGAUAUGCUGAACACAUCAGGACUGCAUAGAACUUUCUGCUUAGAAAUGCUAUUACCUACCUAAACUUCCUAAAAAAGGUCUGCCAACUCACUGCUGAAGCCACUAAAAAGACUGAGCCUCACUUUGUUUGACCAGAGCAGGCUGUAAAGCAGUUGGUGUUAAGGGAUGUAAUAAUGUAAUCAAAGAACACAGAGUCACUACAAUAUUGUCCUGCUGACAAAAACAAACAACAAAACACAACAACAA